AUGAGUAGGAAGUCAAGCAAAGGAGGCAGGAGACCUGCAUGGAUGAGCAAGGAGCUCCUGGCAAAACUCAACCAGAAGAAGAAAGUCUACAGAAAGUGGAAAGGGGGACAGGCCACUUGGGAGGAAUAUAGGAAUGUUGUCAGAGUAUGCAGGGAUGUCACGAGGAAGGCUGAGGCCCGUUUGGAAUUAAAUCUGGCGAGAGAUGUCAAGGACAGCAAGAAGGGCUUCUUCAAAUACAUCAGUAGCAAGAGGAAGACUAGGGAAAAUGUGGGCCCUUUGCUGGAUGGGGUGGGUGCCCUGGUGACGAAGGAUGCAGAGAAGGCAGAGUUACUGAAUGCCUUCUUUGCUUCAGUCCUUACUGCUCAGGCCAGCCCUCAGGAAUCCCAGACCCUGGAGACAAGGGAGAGAGUCUGGAGAAAGGAAGACUUUCCCUUGGUCGAGGAGGAUCGGGUUAGAGAUCAUUUAAACAAACUUGACACCCACAAAUCCAUGGGCCCUGAUGGGAUGCACCCACGAGUGCUGAGGGAGCUGGCGGAUGUCAUUGCUAAGCCACUCUCCAUCAUCUUUGAAAGGUCAUGGAGAACAGGAGAGGUGCCUGAAGACUGGAAGAAAGCCAAUGUCACCCCAGUCUUCAAAAAGGGCAAGAAGGAGGACCCAGGGAACUACAGGCCAGUCAGCCUCACCUGCAUCCCUGGAAAGGUGAUGGAGCAGCUCAUCCUGGAGGCCAUCUCCAAGCAUGUGGAGGACAAGAAGGUGAUCAGGAGUAGUCAGCAUGGCUUCACCAAGGGGAAAUCAUGCCUAACCAAUCUGAUAGCCUUCUCUGAUGGGAUGACUGGCUGGGUAGAUGAGGGGAGAGCAGUGGAUGUUGUUUACCUUGACUUCAGCAAGGCUUUUGACACUGUCUCCCAUAACAUCCUCAUAGACAAGCUCAGGAAGUGUGGGCUAGAUGAGUGGACAGUGAGGUGGAUUGAGAACUGGCUGAAUGGCAGAGCUCAGAGAGUUGUGAUCAGCGGCGCAGUCUAG
rnacentral:lncRNA from 1 species